rnacentral:rRNA from 1 species
CAGUCGCCGCGGGAAUACGGAGGGGGCUAGCGUUGUUCGGGAUUACUGGGCGUAAAGCGCACGUAGGCGGCUUGGUAAGUUAGAGGUGAAAGCCUGGAGCUCAACUCCAGAAUUGCCUUUAAGACUGCCGAGCUAGUAGGUGAGAGAGGUAAGUGGAAUUCCGAGUGUAGAGGUGAAAUUCGUAGAUAUUCGGAAGAACACCAAUGGCGAAGGCGGCUUACUGGCUCAUUCUAGACGCUGAGGUGCGAAAGCGUGGGGAGCAAACAGGAUUAGAUACCCCAGUAGUCCCUGUCUCUUAUAC